rnacentral:rRNA from 1 species
AUACGGAGGGUGCGAGCGUUAAUCGGAAUUACUGGGCGUAAAGCGCGCGUAGGCGGUUAGAUAAGUCUGAUGUGAAAGCCCUGGGCUCAACCUGGGAAUGGCAUUGGAUACUGUUUAACUAGAGUGCAGGAGAGGAGAGUGGAAUUCUCGGUGUAGCGGUGAAAUGCGUAGAUAUCAGGAGGAACACCAGUGGCGAAGGCGGCUCUCUGGACUGACACUGACGCUGAGGUGCGAAAGCGCGGGUAGCAAACAGGAUUAGAAACCCCGGUAGUCC